rnacentral:rRNA from 1 species
UACAGAGGGUGCGAGCGUUGUUCAGAAUUAUUGGGCGUAAAGCGCUUGUAGGCGGCCUGUCAAGUCGCGUGUGAAAUCCCCUGGCUUAACCAGGGAAGUGCGCGCGAAACUGAAGGGCUUGAGUGCCGGAGAGGGUCGCGGAAUUCCCGGUGUAGAGGUGAAAUUCGUAGAUAUCGGGAGGAACACCAGUGGCGAAGGCGGCGACCUGGACGGACACUGACGCUGAGACGCGAAAGCGCGGGGAGCAAAAGGG